UUGUGGAAACAGGGUGCUAAUACCGCAUAACAACGUUGUUCACAUGAACAACGCUUAAAAGAUGGCUUCUCGCUAUCACUUCUGGAUGGACCUGCGGUGCAUUAGCUUGUUGGUGGGGUAAUGGCCUACCAAGGCGAUGAUGCAUAGCCGAGUUGAGAGACUGAUCGGCCACAAUGGGAGUGAGACACGGCCCAUACUCCUACGGGAGGCAGCAGUAGGGAAUCUUCCACAAUGGGCGCAAGCCUGAUGGAGCAACACCGCGUGAGUGAAGAAGGGUUUCGGCUCGUAAAGCUCUGUUGUUAAAGAAGAACACGUAUGAGAGUAACUGUUCAUACGUUGACGGUAUUAACCAGAAAGUCACGGCUAACUA
rnacentral:rRNA from 1 species